GGAGUCGGAGCUGCAUUGCCUGCAUAUGCGCUGAGCACCAAGAGGCGAGAGUGGAGACCCAUCGCAUAACGAAGAGAGGGGCCGAGGAUCUAGCAGGUGGGCACGCACUCCCUGCACUUGACGACGCAUCGCGACGGGACGUGGCUGAGGCUGGCGGCGCGCGAGGAGGCGACGUCAGAGCACCUCUUGCCGCAGAUCACCCGCCUCUUCCCGCACGCCGCGGCGCUCACGCAGCCCGCUCUGCCGCCGGAGGACGACUUCCUGGCGGUGGCGGCCCUCAGGUUCUUCGCCUCGGCGGCGGUGAGGUUCGCGGCGCGCCAGGCGCCGCCGUCCGACCUGAAGAGGUUGCCGGCCCUGGCGAUGAACCCCCGCAGGUCGCGGCCCAAGAUGGCCGCGAUGGUCUCGUCGGCGGCGAGCGACAGCCUGCAGCUCGCCGUGGCGACGGCCAGCAGGAGCACUAACGUCACUACAGCUCGCGACCUCGUCAUGCUUGCUGCUGCCGCAGCCUUUAUCGUUUACGUUGUAGACCAACGAGUCUCCACGUUAACUAACAAUGUCGAUCUCUCUUUUUAUAUAGGACAAAGAAAGUCGUGAGGAUGGGGAUGGAAACAUCUGCAUGAGCUAACUAAUUUCAGCGAACGUCCAAUAAUGCGUGGUGGCGAACAGCUCGGGCGUGAGUAGCCAUGGACUGGAGGGAAAGCACACGAUGUCCAAGUCUCUCAGCGCUAGCUACUAGAUGAUGUUGAUAGAAGUUGUGGAUCUACUGAGUCUCACUUAAUCAACCAGAGAGUACUAAAUAAUAACAGAUAGAUUGAUCCUCUUGGAUCUAUGUGCAUAAACAGAGAGACAUACCUUCGCCCCGCAGUAGUGGAGAUGGAUUUGAUCCUUACCGACGUCGGCUCCGUUCUCGCAUGCCACCGUUAGGGUGUCGCUCUUCUAGUCACUCCGACACCUAAGAGAUGAGGUUAUUCUGUGGAUUAGGGUUUAGGACGAGGUACUAGCGUUGGUUUUUCU
rnacentral:misc_RNA from 1 species